ensembl:misc_RNA Metazoa_SRP Metazoan signal recognition particle RNA
GCCGGGUGUGGUGGCGGGCGCCUGUAGUCCCAGCUACUCGGGAAGCUGAGGCAGGAGAAUCGCUUGAACCUGGGAAGGGGAGCUUGCAGUGAGCGGAGAUCGUGCUGCUGCACUCCAACCUGGGCAACAGAGUGAGACUCUGUCUGAAAAAAAUAAAAAAUAAAAAUAAAAAAUGAGAUAUGAGACAGAGUUUCGUUCUUGCUGCCCAGGCUGGAGUGCAAUGGCGCAAUCUCGCCUCACUGCAACCUCCGCCUUCUGGGUUCAAGUGAUUCUCCUGCCUCA